CCGUUUCAUCUUUACUGCUCUAGCGCAUCGGGAGCGUCGCGACGCCGCCGUUGAACACCGUCUGUGGCCGCGUCGCCGUUGCUGUCCUGAUUCUAGCUCGGUAGCGAGUGCGUGAAUGCCUCGGUCUGCUUCGUGGAGAAGUUUUAUUCCCUUAUCUUUUGGUUAGUUACAUCAGGUGGAGGCCUGGAAGCUUAGAAUGUUUAUGUAUAUCUCUUAUGGAAAGGCUUCACCCUUCCAAUUAUUUUAAUCAGUUAUGCACUUUGGGUACUAUCAAGACUUGUAAUAAUUACAAUUCUUCUUAUGUUGUAAAACUUGAGCUUUGGAAAUGUAAAAUAUAUUUUGUAAAGCCUUCCGCUCUAUCUCUGAAGUGUGUGUGUAUCAAAUGUGAUUACUGUAAUGUACAUGUUAUGUGGGAGAUCCUUGGGAUGAUGAGUUCG